rnacentral:rRNA from 1 species
ACUCCUACGGGAGGCAGCAGUGGGGAAUAUUGCAACAAGUGGGCGCAAGCCUGAUGCAGCCAUGCCGCGUGUAUGAAGAAGGCCUUCGGGUUGUAAAGUACUUUCAGCAGUGAGGAAGGUGGUGUCGUUAAUAGCGGCAUCAUUUGACGUUAGCUGCAGAAGAAGCACCGGCUAACUCCGUGCCAGCAGCCGCGGUAAUACGGAGGGUGCGAGCGUUAAUCGGAAUUACUGGGCGUAAAGCGCAUGGCAGGUGGUUUGUUAAGUCAGAUGUGAAAGCCCGGGGCUCAACCUCGGAAUUGCAUUUGAAACUGGCAGAACUAGAGUACUGUAGAGGGGGGUAGAA